rnacentral:rRNA from 1 species
AGUGAACGCUGGCGGUAGGCCUAACACAUGCAAGUCGAACGGCAGCACAGUAAGAGCUUGCUCUUACGGGUGGCGAGUGGAGGACGGGUGAGGAAUACAUCGGAAUCUACUUUUUCGUGGGGGAUAACGUAGGGAAACUUACGCUAAUACCGCAUACGACCUACGGGUGAAACCAGGGGAUCUUCGGACCUUGCGCGAUUGAAUGAGCCGAUGUCGGAUUAGCUAGUUGGCGGGGUAAAGGCCAACCAAGGCGACGAUCCGUAGCUGGUCUGAGCGGAUGAUCAGCCACACUGGAACUGAGACACGGUCCAGACUCCUACGGGAGGCAGCAGUGGGGAAUAUUGGACAAUGGGCGCAAGCCUGAUCCAGCCAUACCGCGUGGGUGAAGAAGGCCUUCGGGUUGUAAAGCCCUUUUGUUGGGAAAGAAAAGCAGCAUGUUAAUACCCCGCUGUUCUGACGGUACCCAAAGAAUAAGCACCGGCUAACUUCGUG